rnacentral:lncRNA from 1 species
UCGACCUGCAGCUGCAGCUGCCAGCCUACCCUACAGCCACAGCAAUGCAGGAUCUGAGCUGUGUGCGAGACCUACACCACAGCUCACGACAGCGCUGGAUCCCAAUCCAUUGAACAAGGCCAGGGAUCAAAACUGCAUCCUCAUGGAUACUAGUUGGAUUCUUAUCAUAUGGAAGUUCCUGGCUAGGGGUCGAAUUGGAGCUGCAGCUGCCAGCCUACGCCAUCGCGGCGCGGGAUCCGAGCCGUGUCUGCGACCCACACCGCAGCUCAUGGCAAAGCCGGAUCCUUAACCCACUGAGCAAGGCCAGGAACCCACAACCUCAUGGUUCCUAGUUGGAUUCGUUAACCACUGCACCACGACCGGAACGCCAUAGUUUGAUUCUUAACCUGCUGAGCAAUGAUAGGAACUCCAUGGAGCAAAUUCUUAAAAUACUGUUCCUGUCCCAAGGCAGCCAGCACCUCUGCUUCUGGGCAGAUCAAUUCCCUUUCUCAACACAGGCUGAGAAACUGUUUCAGAAAAAAAAAAGCUUCUAAAAAACGCUUGACAAAACUGGACCCUAGGUCAACAGGGAAAAGGAGACAUUAGUGGCACAACUGACAAAUCUGAAUAUACAUAAUUGUUAUGGGCUGAAUCAGGUCCCACCCCCAAAUUCAUAGGUAGAAGUCCUAAGCCCUGGUACCUCAGAAUGCAAUUUUUUUUUCUUCUUCUGCUUUUUAGGGCCACAUCUGUGUCAUACGAUUCCAAGCCUAGGGGUUGAAUCGGAGCUGCAGCUGCUGAUCUACAUCACAGCCACAGCAACACCAGAUCCUUAACCUGCUGAGCGAGGCCAGGGGUCGAACCCGCAUCCUCAUGGAUACAAGCUGGAUUUGUUACUUCUGAGCCACAGUGGGAACUCCCAGAAUGUAAUUAACAGAAAAGAAGGUGCUCAAAGAGGUGCUUCUGUUCAAUGAGGUCUUUAGGGGGGGCCUUGAGCCAACCUGACUGCUGUCCUCAUAAGAGGAAGACAUUUAGAUAUGCAAGGCGCCACCAAGGAUGCACACAGAGAAAAGAGCCUGGGAGGACACAGCAAGAAGGUCACUGUCUGAGAGGCUUCAGAGGAAACCAAAGCUGCUGACGUCGUGAUCGUGGACCUCCAGGCUCCAAAACCAUGAGAAAAUAAGUUUCUGUUGUCUAAGCCAUCCUGUCUGUGGUACUUUGUUGUGGUGGCCCUGGGACAUAUAUGGUAUUACAUCGACCUUAAAGGGUCUAAGGAGGAAAACCACUUUCUGGAGCUCCUGCUGUGGUGCAGUGGGUUAAGGAUCUGGGGUGGCUGCAGCUGUAGCGUAGGCUGCAGCUGUGGCUGGGAUCUGAUCCCCAGCUCGGGAACUUCC